AGAUAUUUACAUGAAUUACAAAAAAAAACCGAUGUUUUUUUAAAUAUUUCCGUUUUCCGUAUUUUUUUUAGUUUUUCAAGGUUGAUUUCGAGGUUGAUUUGAAAAACACUUAGCAUUGUAUACCCUUAAAAACCAACUAAAUUCAAUUGACUAUCAGAAACUAUCCUUAAAGUGGAAUAAUAAUAAUUUUUACUGCUCCAAAAAAACACUUAUUUGAAAAGACAAUACAUUCUAAAAAAUUGUAUGAAAUGCAAUUAAACAUUUGUUCAUUAAUAUAUUUAUGUGCAAAAAACACAUAGGUAGGUACAUCACAAAUGUAAUGUUAUAUUGGAUUUUGUAUCUAUCGAUUAUAUACACCUAUCCGGUAGUAACAGUUUAUAAAUAAAUACUGUAUUUAUGUAUCAUACGUAUUUAUUAAUAUUUAAAAGUGAAAUUAUUUUAUACUCUUAGGUAUGUAAGACAAAUGUUGAUCAUCUUAAUUUAAAAAAAAAUUGUUUGGCCCACAGCUGUUUAAAAAAUAUGCAAUAUAAAAUAUAAGAAAUGUCAUCGCAACAACAACUAUACUGCGGCGUCCGUUAAAUUAUACGAGAUGCAGCAAAAUCGCAGUAAUAUUUAAAACAACUAUAACGAUAAAUUUGUAGUUUUGGGAUUACUCGAUUUUAACAAGACUAUAAUAGGUGUAGUAUUACAGUUGUAGGUAUCUACGAACACCAGAUGCACUCAUCGGCGCCGGGAUAUCCACGAGAACAGAUGAAUGAAUUUCCGGUUUUCAUGAAUAUAACAACACAGAAUACAAGUAUAUUAUGUUAGUUGUGUAGACACUAUCCGCCAAAUGCCCCGCAACGACCGCCAAGUGCAAUGCAGCAGGUUCAUCGAUCUCGUGAACGAAGGCCAAGUCGAUGUCACACAUUACCAGGUACUUGCGAUAUUGCACGCGAAUCCAAUGACAGACCGAUGUGUAGGUAUAUACAAGAUAACGGGUAAGCUGUAUACAUUUGAGCAUUUGUUUCAAAAAUACACGUCUAAUAGAGAAAUAUAUAAUCAUGUAGUGUUACUGAAAUAUAUAAUAUACUUGCGGGGUAAGUGCCUAUA